rnacentral:lncRNA from 1 species
CAAAUUUUUAUGCCCCACCUACGAUAGUAGAGGGGCAUUAUGUUUUCUGGUCUGUGCGUCCGUUCGUUCGUUCGUCCGUUCGUCCGUCUGUCCCGCUUCAGGUUAAAGUUUUUGGUCGAGGUAGUUUUUGAUGAAGUUGAAGUCCAAUCGACUUCAAACUUGGUACACAUGUUCCCUAUGAUAUGAUCUUUCUAAUUUUAAUACCAAAUUAGAGAUUUUACCCCAAUUUCACGGUCCACUAAACAUAGAAAAUGAUAGUGCGAGUGGGGCAUUCGUGUACUGAGGACACAUUCUUGUUGAUUACAAUUUUUGUU